GAUGAAGAACGUAGCGAAAUGCGAUAAGUAAUGUGAAUUGCAGAAUUCAGUGAAUCAUCGAAUCUUUGAACGCACAUUGCGCCCCCUGGUAUUCCGGGGGGCAUGCCUGUCCGAGCGUCAUUACAACCCUCAAGCUCAGCUUGGUGUUGGGCCCCGCCGCCCCGGCGGGCCCUAAAGUCAGUGGCGGUGCCGUCCGGCUCCGAGCGUAGUAAUUCUUCUCGCUCUGGAGGUCCGGUCGUGUGCUUGCCAGCAACCCCCAAUUUUUUUCAGGUUGACCUCGGAUCAGGUAGGGAUACCCGCUGAACUUAAGCAUAUCAUAAGCGGAGGA
rnacentral:misc_RNA from 1 species